UUUUCGGAGAGUUUGAUCCUGGCUCAGAGUGAACGCUGGCGGCGUGGAUUAGGCAUGCAAGUCGUGCGAUCCUGAAGGUAGUGCUUCGCAAGAGGCGCUUCAUUCGGGAUAGCGGCAGACGGGUGAGUAACGAGUGAGUAACCUACCUUUAUUCCGGGGAUAGCCUUGCGAAAGCGAGGGUAAUACCCGAUGUGUCCCGAGAAACAAAAGUUUUUCGGGAUAAAGGUUCCGCAAGGGGCUGAAUAAAGAUGGGCUCGCUUCCUAUCAGCUAGUUGGUAGGGUAAUGGCCUACCAAGGCUCUUGACGGGUAGGUAGCCUGAGAGGGCGGUUACCCACACGGGGACUGAGACACGGCCCCGACUCCUACGGGAGGCUGCAGUCGAGGAUCUUUAGCAAUGGGCGAAAGCCUGACUAUGCGACGCCGCGUGAGGGAUGAAGGCCUUCGGGUUGUAAACCUCUUUCGAUGGGAAAGAAGUCCCGAAUUUUCGGGAUUGACGGUACCCAGAGAAGAAGCCACGGCCAACUCCGUGCCAGCAGCCGCGGUAAUACGGAGGUGGCGAGCGUUACUCGGAUUCAUUGGGUGUAAAGGGCAGGUAGGUGGGCUGAAAAGUCCUACUUGAAAUCCUCUGGCUUAACCAGAGAACUGGGUAGGAAACUUUCGGUCUUGAGGUUGGGAGAGGAGAACGGAAUUCCCGGUGUAGGGGUGAAAUCUGUAGAUAUCGGGAGGAACACCAGCGGCGAAGGCGGUUCUCUGGCCCAAUCCUGACACUCAGCUGCGAAAGCUAGGGGAGCAAACAGGAUUAGAUACCCUGGUAGUCCUAGCCGUAAACGAUGAGCACUAGGUGUUUGACCGUAAGGUUGGGCGCCGCAAGAUAACUCGUUAAGUGCUCCACCUGGGGACUACGACCGCAAGGUUAAAACUCAAAGGAAUUGACGGGGGUCCGCACAAGCGGUGGAACAUGUGGUUCAAUUCGACGCUACGCGAAGAACCUCACCAGGACUUGAAAUCCCGAAAGUAAGAAACCGAAAGGUGGAUGACUCGUAAAGUCGAGAAUCGGGACAGGUGUUGCAUGGCUGUCGUCAGCUCGUGUCGUGAGAUGUUGGGUUAAGUCCCGCAACGAGCGCAACCAUCGUCCUUAGUUGCCCCCAAAUCUGAGCAAUCAGAUGUUGAGCACUCUAAGGAGACUGCCUGUGAUAAGCAGGAGGAAGGUGGAGAUGACGUCAAGUCAGUACGGCCUAUAUGUCCUGGGCUACACACGUGUUACAAUGCCCACUACAGAGCGUUGCCAAACCGCGAGGUGGAGCUAAUCGCUAAAAGUGGGCUCAGUUCAGAUUGGAGUCUGCAACCCGACUCCAUGAAGACGGAAUCGCUAGUAACGGCGGAUCAGCCAUGCCGCCGUGAAUACGUUCCCGGGCCUUGUACACACCGCCCGUCAAGUCACUUGAGUCAAAUGCACCUGAAGUCGCUGACCUAACUCCGAGUAAUCGGAGGUGGAGGUGCCCAAGGUGUGUUUGGCAAGAGGGACUAAGUCGUAACAAGGUAGUCCUAGCGGAAGCUGGGGCUGGAUCACCUCCUUU
rnacentral:rRNA from 1 species